rnacentral:rRNA from 1 species
GAUGAACGCUGGCGGCGUGCCUAAUACAUGCAAGUCGAGCGAACAGACGAGGAGCUUGCUCCUCUGACGUUAGCGGCGGACGGGUGAGUAACACGUGGAUAACCUACCUAUAAGACUGGGAUAACUUCGGGAAACCGGAGCUAAUACCGGAUAAUAUAUUGAACCGCAUGGUUCAAUAGUGAAAGACGGUUUUGCUGUCACUUAUAGAUGGAUCCGCGCCGCAUUAGCUAGUUGGUAAGGUAACGGCUUACCAAGGCAACGAUGCGUAGCCGACCUGAGAGGGUGAUGCGCCACACUGGAACUGAGACACGGUCCAGACUCCUACGGGAGGCAGCAGUAGGGAAUCUUCCGCAAUGGGCGAAAGCUUGACGGAGCAACGCCGCGUGAGUGAUGAAGGUCUUCGGAUCGUAAAACUCUGUUAUUAGGGAAGAACAAAUGUGUAAGUAACUAUGCACGUCUUGACGGUACCUAAUCAGAAAGCCACGGCUAACUACGUG